UGAAAGUUCUGGUAUCCUUAUGCUCCUUUUUGCAUUACAGAGAAACUCAUUUUUAAAUAAGCCUUUGCUUAUGAUACAUAUUAAUGUUAGUGCAUGCUCAGUAGACAGCUGUAUCAAACUCCUUGCUUUGGUCCCAAAGCAAUUGCCAGUGAGUGAUAAAAAGAAAGCCAAAGGCUAGAGAAGAGGUUGAUGCUGAACUUAGAGGUGCCUCCUUUACUCUUAAUCGAAAGGUUAGGAGAAGUAUACAGAAAGAAACACUAUCUGCUCUUUUCGAGACUUACCUUCGUAUUUUGAAGCAUAGGAUGUAUACUUCAAAUUCCAGUCUAAUUAUCAUCAUCAGGACUUCAGGAGCAAGGCCAUUAAUGUAUCCCCAGAUGGAGGGAUUAGGAAAAUUCUCACAUUUAAUUGAUUUGGAUUUCAUGGGCGAACUUACCGCAUGUCUCAAGAAGCUUUCUGGGUAUACCGACCAUCACAGUGAGAUUCUACAUGAUAAUACACUGUCUACAUCACAACAUCUGCAAUGCUGCAUAAUUGUGUUUAAUGUCGGGAGGAGCAACCUUGAAGCUCUGAAUGUCGACCUGGAAGACUUCUUUCUGCAGCUUUUUAACCACAUAUUGGGAGUAUCGGCCUGACAGAUUGGAAUUCUAUUGAUUUGGGUCUGGUGAAAAGAAAUAUAUGCUCUUGACCUCGUGUUCUUUCUUUUGUUGACUUGCCUCCAAUUGAUUCUAUAGAACUUGUGAUGUUACUGCAUUUUCCUCCCUUAAAGAAAGAUUUUUCGAUAGGUAGCAUCAUAGCAAAAACUUCUUCCAUUAUAUUUUGCUUGUAUUAGUUUUCUUGUUCACUGUUUUACCCUUGAAAUGCUUAUCGUUACUCAAAUAACUAAUUAUAUACAGUUAUUUCACAUAUUCACAUUACACGAUGAUUUCUGACAAUGCAUUUUGUCAUGUACUCCAAUGCUGAUUGAUUUAAAAUAGAAAGUUGUAUAGUCUUGAGUUAGCACUAUUCUGUUAAUGUGGAGGCAGCAGUGCCCAAUACAAUAUGUUUAAUUCAGGGCUUAUGGCUAUUCACUUUGUCUUCCAUCAACAAAGUGAUUUCGGAAUGUUUUUCAUGUCUGAUCAUUUUUGGUAAAUUGAAUGGUUUUUAUGUCUAAAAUAGCAGUAGCGAAGGUUUCAGGUAACUUAACAACAAAACCUGAUUUUUGUCUUUAUCCAGCGAUUGUGGUGAAGUAUUGGCUGAUGCUCUGAAGACACUUCUCUGAGAAGGCAAACCGCAGGAUAUGAUAAGAGCAGCUGCUUUCAUUAAACGCCUAGCUACCUUUGCUGUCCUUUGGUUCUCCAGAAGCCAUAGCAGGUUUGAGUUUCUUUUGUCUUGCACUGUUCCAUCUGGUUGAGCUAAUAAUUGCCAGAUUUUUCAUGUUUGACUUGUGGUCAGUAUGAGCAGUGAUGCACAUUCUGAACGGGCACUCAUGUGCAGAGCAUUGGUGGAAUAAUUCAUAAUAUAAUGCAAUAAAUCACCAUUAUAUGAGCCCUACUUGUAUGUAGUUCGUAUAGGUUGCUCAAGGUUGACCCAGUGUCCUUAGGUAGAGUAGCUCAUCAGGAUCGAUAUGUAAUGUGUAUGACAGUAGAACAAGUUUUUCUGCCUUGAUUGUAGUCCAAAUACUAUAGAUCCAUUGUAACCUAGUCACAAUUUUGGCAUACCCACUUUGUAACCUAGUUUCGUAGAGUUUGGCGUCUAUUACAAAGCCUUGCUAGUCAUGAUUUUGUGGACAAUUUACGGUCGUUUAAUAGUUAUUUCGUAAUCUGUCUUCAUAGUUUUCUUGUGUGCAACCAGGCUAACAAAUUUGUUGCCGCUCUGCGAGAUAUAGCAGUGGCAGGCUUCUGCUAUUUGUUUCUUGUUAGACAUGGUCGCAUGGACAAUGCCAUCCCCUGUGCGAAACUACAAAUUGGUAGUCGUAAAGUGCUAGACUGCCCGAGCAGAAGAAAGAAAGAAAAAACAGCAGUUUUUAUCGUCUAUUUUUUAUCAUCGUGCUCAUUGAGGCUAACGCGAACUGCAUAAUGAUAUUAACAUAUCAAUCGAGAUGCAUAUGACAUUUCUUCUGAACAUGCUCUGCUAUUCUCACAAUUUGGUAAAUUUGCUUGGACCCUCGUUCCGUUGCACGCACGGAAACAGGGUGUUUAUCAGAAGUUACAAACACAAGUUACAGGUUUUCAACAGGUAAAGAAUGUGAAGAAAAACCUCCCUAGGUUGUGAUUACAAGAACACCGAUGGCGAGGGAUUGACGACGAUAUGCCUAAGCGGAUUUGAGACGUCUCCCCCUCCAGCGUGCUUCACAAACUCUGCAGGACUAUGGAAUUUACCAUGGCAGACACACAUUAUACUCACAUCCUCACCUUUCCUGUACUUGUACAGGAAGCCAUCUAUCUUCCUACCAUUGGGCCCUUCCACCUUGGAAGACACCAUUGGCAUGUCCAUCAUGAUCUUCCCGAUGUCGCCAGUGCUGCUCGUCCGCAUUGUCAGUGACCCAAGCGUUCGCAACGGGGACUGCUGUGUCACGGUGCCGUUUAGCGGCUUGCCAGUUGAU